rnacentral:rRNA from 1 species
CCUACGGGAGGCAGCAGUAGGGAAUCUUUCACAAUGGGUGAAAGCCUGAUGGAGCAACGCCGCGUGCAGGAUGAAGGCCUUCGGGUUGUAAACUGCUUUUAUAAGCGAGAAAUAUGAUGGUAACUUAUGAAUAAGGAUCGGCGAACUACGUGCCAGCAGCAGCGGUCAUAAGUAGGAUCCGGCCAUUAUCCGGAGUGAGUGGGUGUAAAGAGUUGCGUAGGUGGCAUAGUAAGUAGCUAGUGAAAUCUGGUGGCUCAACCAUUCAGACUAUUAGCUAAACUGCUAAGCUCGAGACCGUUAGAGGUAACUGGAAUUUCUGGUGUAGGGGUGAAAUCCGUAGAUAUUGGAAGGAACACCGAUAGCGUAGGCAGGUUACUGGGACGGUUCUGACGCUAAGGCACGAAAGCGUAGGGAGCAAACGGGAUUAGAUACCCCUGUAGUC